rnacentral:rRNA from 1 species
CCUACGGGAGGCAGCAGUGAGGAAUAUUGGUCAAUGGUCGGGCGACUGAACCAGCCAAGCCGCGUGAGGGAGGAAGGUCCAGAGUAUCGUAAACCUCUUUUGUCAGGGAACAACGCCUGGGACGCGUCCCCGGAUGAGUGUAACUGAAGCAAAAGCAUCGGCUAAAUCCGUGCCAGCCGCCGCGGUAAUACGGGGGAUGCGAGCGUUCCCCGGAUUUAUUGGGUUUAAGGGGUGCGCGGGCGGUAGGUUAGGUCAGCGUUCAAAGCCCGGGGCUCAACCCCGGCCCGCCGUUGAAACUGGCAGUCUCGAGUUGGAGAGAAGUAUGCGGAAUGCGCGGUGUAGCGGUGAAAUGCAUAGAUAUCGCGCAGAACUCCGAUUGCGAAGGCAGCAUGCCGGCUCCACACUGACGCUGAGGCACGAAAGCGUGGGUAUCGAACAGGAUUAGAUACCCCAGUAGUC